rnacentral:rRNA from 1 species
GAGUUUGAUCCUGGCUCAGGACGAACGCUGGCGGCGCGCCUAAUACAUGCAAGUCGAGCGAGAACCAGGUCUUGCCCUGGGGAGAGCGGCGAACGGGUGCGUAUCACGUGAGCAACCUGCCUCAGAGACCGGAAUAACUCGAGGAAACUCGGGCUAAUGCCGGAUGCCCUCGAUGGAUCGCAUGAUCCGACGAGGAAAUGGAUUCCGCUCUGAGAUGGGCUCGCGGCCUAUCAGCUUGUUGGUGGGGUAACGGCCUACCAAGGCAACGACGGGUAGCUGGUCUGAGAGGACGAUCAGCCACACUGGGACUGAGACACGGCCCAGACUCCUACGGGAGGCAGCAGUAGGGAAUCUUGCGCAAUGGGCGAAAGCCUGACGCAGCGACGCCGCGUGCGGGAUGAAGGCCUUCGGGUCGUAAACCGCUUUCAGCAGGGACGAAAUUGACGGUACCUGCAGAAGAAGGCCCGGCCAACUACGUGCCAGCAGCCGCGGUGAUACGUAGGGGUCUAGCGUUGUCCGGAAUCAUUGGGCGUAAAGAGCUCGUAGGCGGUUCGGCAAGUCGGAUGUGAAAUCUCCACGCUCAACGUGGAGGGGCCAUUCGAAACUGCUGUGACUCGAGUCCGGUAGGGGAGUUCGGAAUUCCCGGUGUAGCGGUGAAAUGCGCAGAUAUCGGGAGGAACACCAGUGGCGAAGGCGGAACUCUGGGCCGGAACUGACGCUGAGGAGCGAAAGCGUGGGGAGCGAACAGGAUUAGAUACCCUGGUAGUCCACGCCGUAAACGUUGGGCACUAGGUGUGGGACUCUAUCGACGGGUUCCGUGCCGUAGCUAACGCAUUAAGUGCCCCGCCUGGGGAGUACGGCCGCAAGGCUAAAACUCAAAGGAAUUGACGGGGACCCGCACAAGCGGCGGAGCAUGCGGAUUAAUUCGAUAAUAACCGAAGAACCUUACCCAGGUUUGACAUCAAGAGCAACUCUCUGAAAGGAGAGCCUCGGCCACAAGCCGACUCGAAGACACCUGUUGCAUGGCUGUCGUCAGCUCGUGCCGUGAGGUGUUUGGUUAAGUCCAGCAACGAGCGCAACCCUCGUCUUAUGUUGCCAGCGGGUAAUGCCGGGAACUCAUGAGAGACUGCCUAUGUAAGUAGGAGGAAGGUGAGGAUGACGUCAAGUCAGCAUGGCGGUUACGCCUGGGGCUUCACACAUGCUACAAUGGGCGCAACAAAGGGCAGCAAUACCGCGAGGUGGAGCUAAUCCCAAAAAUACGCCCCCAGUUCAGAUUGCAGUCUGCAACUCGACUGCAUGAAGGUGGAAUCGCUAGUAAACGCAGGUCAGCUAUACUGCGUUGAAUACGUUCCCGGGGUUUGCACACAC